rnacentral:misc_RNA from 1 species
AGCAGCCGCGGUAAUUCCAGCUCCAAUAGCGUAUAUUAAAGUUGCUGCAGUUAAAAAGCUCGUAGUUGAAUUUCGGGAUCAAUAUGUUGGUCGUGCCUCGGUACGUACUAGCUUAUUGGUUUCUUCCUUCUGACGAACCAUAAUGUCAUUUAUUUGGUGUUAUGGGGAAUCAGGACUGUUACUUUGAAAAAUUAGAGUGUUUAAAGCAGGCUCACGCUUGAAUACAUUAGCAUGGAAUAAUGAAAUAGGACGUUUGAUUCUAUUUUGUUGGUUUCUAGGAUCGACGUAAUGAUUAAUAGGGAUAGUUGGGGGCAUUAGUAUUCAAUUGUCAGAGGUGAAAUUCUUGGAUUUAUUGAAGACUAAACUACUACGAAAGCAUUUGCCAAGGAUGUUUUCAUUAAUCAAGAACGAAAGUUAGGGGAUCGAAGACGAUCAGAUACCGUCGUAGUCUUAACCAUAAACUAUGCCGACUAGGGAUCGGAUGAUGUUAAUUUUUAAUGUACUCAUUCGGCGCCUUAAC